UAAAAGAGAUGGUGAAGGGUCAUUGGGAGGUUGAAGAGCCUCCCAGGAGGAUUUUCUUGCAGAAAGGUUUGAUGCAGGGUGAGCUGUCGUGAAGAAAUACUAUAGACUGAGGAGUGAGAGAGACACAGUGAGAGCAGGAACACAAGCAG